ensembl:lncRNA
GAGCCAGUCUAAGUAUAAAUGUUCCUUUACAAUCUGCAUCUGUGUGUUAUAGACACACCCAAAAAGAGGAGAGAAGAGGAUAAUAUGAAAGGAAAGAUAGGAGUGGCACGGAGAGGAAGGGAUGUGGCGGCGAUGGUGUUGCUGCUGCUAGAACAGUCUUCCCACCUUGUGGUAGCGCGGAGAACUGUAGCUGCCUCAGUGCAUGAGCAAUGGGGGAUGAGAGAGAGAUGGAGUGAGAGAGAUAGAGGGAGAGCAUAGGAGAGAGCCAGAGGGAGCGAUACACAGAGAGAGCAAGAAAGAGAGAGAGAGAGAAAAAAGGGAGGGGAGUUUAAACUAAGUGCAAUGUUUUGGGACAGGCUAAUCUGUUAGUGAGCAGUGUGAGGAUCGGAGCGUAUUGUGUGAGCCAGUGUGCGGGGGACAGAUAAGGGAGCCAGCCAGCCCGCCAGCCCGACCCACCGACCCACCGACUGCCUGACUGCUUGUUUUAAUGUGCUGACUCUGGGGAGAUUUUAAAAGACAGCAUAUUGACUGCUUAGACGUGUGCGGAGACCCUGGGCACAAACGCCACCACUACAGCCACAACGAGCAGAAGUGCAUCAGCAGACAGGGGAGACAGAGACAAAAACUAGAGGACUGAAAUAUCACAACUCCAGAAUCAGAAAAUUAAAGAGGAUUUUUUUUUAUCCCCCUCUUUUUAAAUUGAUUUGAUUUUUUUCUUUCUUUUUUGUGUUCCUGGAACUGACUCCCAACUGUAGAAAAAAAAGAGGAGGUGGGAGCAAAAACAACAACAAGAACAAAAACUGAAGAAAAUCUGAAAAUAAAAGGACAGAGCGAAAAAAAAAAAGCACCGAAUCUGAACAUGUUCGAAAUAAGCCGAACACUCAACGCUGCUUUGUUGAGCAAUGAGCAUCUCAAGAUGAUGGCGAGGUACGGGCAGCUCUCGGGACUAGCAGCCAGUGGCGUGGGCUCCGUCCCUGAGACGCACUCGCCGCUAUUUCCCAGGGAUCUCCUGUCAUCGCCAGCCCAGAUGGGCUACAGG